UUUACUCUCGACUCUCGACCUUUACUCUCGACUCUCGACCCUCGACUUUUAGAUACACUCCAAUCAGAGGGAACCUGAUAAGAAACAUAUGUUAAUCAAAGCGUCGCACUUAGUUAUUUCAUAUUUAUAAAUAGACGUCUUCUGAAAGUCGAAUUAACACUAUUAUAGAAAUAGGACAAAUUCACGGGGUGUAGAUGAAAGGCGGACGGACGGCGGAGCAUUUUAUAAACACAUGAUUACUACCGCAACUAAUUAUAAUGCUGAUAUUUGCUGUGUUGGUGUAGUGUACUCAGGUGAAUAGCAUGCUUGUGAUGUUAAUCUGAGUUAUAUCCACACCGGGCAGGCUUGAAAAAUAUGCCUGGCCACGGUGGGAAUCGAACCUACGACCUUUGGAAUACCAGCCCAAUUAUAAUGCCCUAAAUUAAAGUAUACCAGCUUUACAUCUAUAAAAUGAAUAUGUUUUCACCCGUUCGAAUUUUAACAAUGAAAUUUUCUAAUCAGCAUUCAAUAUGUAUAUAUGAUAGGCUAUACGUUGUCUUUCUCGGGAAACUUUUGGAAAUAUUGUAAAAAAGCGCCUUAGUUUUGGAGCUUCUGUUAGGCAGGGUUAUUAAAUGACAUUCACUUGCUGACAUUUUCGUCCUUUAAAUAGUGCUGACUUGUUGUUUUAUAAUGAAAAUAAUCCCCGUUUUACUUAUAAACCUAAGAGCUUCACACGUAGCAAAUUAUGCGACGACUAUUCUAUAUAUGGAUUUUUGAAAUAUCAUAUAUUAGGGGCGGAUAUUUGAUGGGGUAGAUUUUCAUUGAGCCCGAUAAUUUUUUAACCUGCUAAAUAACGCUGCUCGAUCUUUUUCUGUCCUUUAAGGCUCUUGAACGAUUUUUUUAUUUCAUGCUCACAAAUAAAAAAAUUCUUUUAUCCGUCCGCCUUUUAUCUACACACAAAUUCACGCCCUGUGAAACGCCCUGUUUGUUAAGCCGAUUACAGACGAGCAAGUUUUCUAUGAUCGUGACUGAAACACCACACGAGUAACACGAGUUACAUACGAGUACAUACGACAUACAUACGAGUACACACGACUUACAUACGGGUAGUAAACUCGUUUUCAGUGUUUGUAUAUUGCAUUAUAGACAAAAAUAUCGUAUUCUUGGUUGACAAACUUGAUUGGUUGAAGCUAAUUUUUUUACGUCUGCGAAAAGUAUCAAUUUCUCUGCCCUCACUCCUACCGAUUUUUUGCCAUCGAAAUUUUACUCUCGACAUACUACUUUGCUGUGAAAACGGCGCAAAAAUAACGCUUACAAUCAACGAUAAUUUAUAAAAAUACGAAUGUUUACUUUACCAGAAAUAUUAAAUACAGUAGAAACUCUCAGUCCAUAUAAAAAAAUACUCGAAUGUUUGGUUAUUUUCAUGCAAAACUAAUUUUAAAACAAAACUAAUUAACUAGACAACUAGAAAAUAGAGACUGAAAGGCAAAUAUACAACUUGUCAUUGUAUUUUAAAUGAAUUUACCUACAGCGUCUGAUUCGUCGGAAUCCAUAUUUAAAGCUAGUAGAUAUUAGAUAACAAUGCGAAAGUGAAAGAAAUCGAGUUCACUACCCAUAUGUAAGUCGUAUGUACUUGUAUGUCAGUCGUAUGUACUCGUUUGUUACUCGUGUGCACUCGUGUGUUACUCGUACAGUAUGUACCCGUAUUCAUGCGUAUGUAAGUCGUAUGUACUCGUACGUAACUCGUGUUACUCGUAUGGUGUUUCAUUCACGAUCGUUUUCUAUAACAAGUUUUCAUAUGACAAGUUUUAUUUGGUCGUAUUUGUAUAGGCAACUUUGCCAGUUUUUACUAUGACACGUAGGCCUACACUUGUUCAAAGGCUAGUAGCUAAAACAAACUACAAAUUUUUUGUUCGUCUGUACGGGUCAACAAAGAAAAUUUGGCAAAGCAAUUUGAGAACUUGUAUGCAGUUGAUCAACAAUCUAAUUGUAACUAUACGGUGGCUCACAAGGCUAUCGUGGCGGUUGGAAAUCCAAAAACUUGUCAUAGAAACUUUGUUGUAAGCACACACGUGCAAUUGCCAUUGUUUAAUUUCUCUUUAUUCCUUGAACGCAAAAUACAUGUCAUCGCUAAAUAUACUUAAGCCCCGUUUACACUACGCUCAAUUUUUGGUACCGUACCACUUUUUGGUUCUUGGACUGCCUAAAUAGGUAGUCCAAGAACCAAAAAAGUCGUACGGGUACCAAUUUUAUCCGUGCCGUACCAAAAAUUGAGCGUAGUGUAAACGGGGCUUAAUGUCAAUUAUGUAAAAGGGUGUGUCUAUAACAUCACUACAUCCCUCCCCUCUUUUAAGUAACUGUUUAUAAUUUUCUGUGUUGGUGUUAUGUACUCAGGUGAAUAUGAUGUUUGUGAUGUUACUCUGAGUGUAUAUCCACACUGGGCAAGCUUGAAAAAUAUGCCUGGCCACGGUGGGAAUUGAACCUACGACACCGUGGUCAGGGAAUCGAACCUAUACGACACCGUGGCCAGGCAUAUUUUUCAAGCUUGUGGAUACUCAGAGUAACAUCACAAACAUAACUGUUUAUACUUAAAUUCAAACCGUCCAAACUCAAUGAAAGUAUCUUAGAAACUCGAACUCAACGAAAGUAUACUGUUUAUGGGUCAACGAAUAAUUGUGUGCGGGUUUAUAAGAUUCCCAUAUUGUUCUCUUUGCACACGUUUCCUAGUUGAUCUUCUCAGCACUGGUGCUUGCACGUCGUUGUCGAUCUCUGUUCUCGUGGAUUCUCGUGCCCCAUGAUCUUCUUCAUCAUCUGAAUCACCCACUAUACAUCUUUUAUCUUUUUGAAGAAUGAUGCGUUCCUUGUCACAAUGUGUUUCUGAUUUUCAGCUACUAUCUUAGUUCCUUUCUGUUCAAUUAUCGUAUAUGGUUCUACUGAGUCCAUAUUUUGUUGUAAAUUUAUUUCUCUCUAUGACAAAAACAUAACACAAUGACUUCUAUUUAGUGUCCAGGCCGUCACAUCUUGAUAGAUUAUGGUGAAACGCCUCGUUCUUGAUACAUAAUUCCAUAAAAGCCUCCAAUUCCAUCAUAAACGCCUCUAGAAUACAUGUAUUUCAAUUCAAUCUUGCGUAUCUUUUAGCAAAACAAUAUCAAUGAAUUUUUGGUACUUGCCGAAAAGUGUUGAAGAUGAUAAAUUGCUAGAGAAUGAUGUCAGGACGACAGGGGAACAUGAACUAGAUGAGAACACGUUUUUGAAAGAUAAAGAAAUAGAUAUAAACAUAAAGAGGAGGUCUAAAACAGGAGAAGAUAAGAUAAAGGAAAAAGAUAACAGUAAAGCAGAAGAAAAUAUGGCGACGGUGAACGAAACAGGACCUGUACCUUGCACUGCAGGAGAAUUGAUUGGUUUAUCACGUGACAUCGAGGCUAUGAUUGGAGAAGCGCUGGGUGAUGUGACAAAGGUAACUAAUUUUGGAUUUAGUAAGAGUUGGAUACAUAUAUAUAUAUAUAUAUAUAUAUAUAUAUAUAUAUAUAUAUAUAUAUAUAUAUAUAUAUAAUUAUAUAAAGGUAGUUUAAAGGGGAGCAAUGCAUGCAAGCCAUUCUGAUUUACAUGUAUAAUUCAUCCCAAAGAUUUAUUUUCCAUUCAAUCAUAUUUCUAUUGGGCGCUUCAUUUUAAUGUUUAUACUCUAAUAGUUCGAAUUCAUUCAUAGAGUGGCGAAUGUUUCCAGUAUUACUGAAUUAGCCUUUCUCACGAUGACGAAUAUCCGCCAUUUUUGGGUGGCAUCAAAUUUUCCUUAUCCAAUGCAGACAAUUAAAACAAUGUGAAAAGCAAUUUUUCAAAAUAAACUAACCAUUUACUAAGCAAAUUUACCAUCAUUCGUCCAAAAAAUUAUAAAAAGUCGCUAUUAUAUGUGGACUUACCUGGCAGACUUCGGCUGAAAAGCCACCCAAAAAUGGCGGCCUGAGAAAGGCUAAUUGGUUGUAGCUCAUGCAAACUGUAUGGAACUUACUUAUUGAUCAAUUUGAAAAAGUGAAGAAUAGAGUGAUCGGGAAUUUACCGUCAAAAAAACUUUUCUUAAUUUAUUAUUUGCAAAGCUCGUCUUAAAGUUCAUGAACAUAUGAUUUUAGGUUGGCGCAUUUUUGAAAGAUAUGGUCGAUGGGCGUUACGACGUCGCCUGAAAAGUAUGGUGUAUUCUUGUAAAGUGCAUAAGAAACAAAAGCAGUAAUUAUAAUGUCGACAAAAGAACGCUAACUUGAAAUUGUUACUUCUGAUCGAAUUGGCGAUAAACCUCACGAUACUCUGCGUCAAGACUGAAUCGUGUCAUAAAUCUGCUUGCUUGAUUCGAUUAACCUCUUAGGAGGACGUAAGGGACUCCAGCGAAGUUAUUCAAUUUAAUGCGCGAAGCUGGUGACAAUACAUUUAUUGGAAACACACAAGCAGCUAGAUUAGAUGUUUUAUAGUAUAGAUCUAGAUUUUUAUAACCAAUCCCGAGGGUCCCCCAGGGGUGUCUGUGUUCCCGUGUUUACUUGAUAAGUUUUCCUUAACUUUGUCCCUUGUUCCCCACAGAGAUCACACCAUGUUCCCAUAGCUUACAUGUUCCCUUUUUCCCGAACUCGUUUUGGUUUUGCGCCCGUGCUCCUCCUUCGAAAUCUGCCUUGUUCCCCUUGUUCCCUAGAAACCACUGGGAGACCCUCAGUUUACCAUCAGAGACUGUUUCUGAAUACUGAUGACACUUUAAUCUAUUUUAGUAGUAACUCCAUUACAACGAUUGAGUCUAUUUUGUCUGAAGAUCUAAAUCGCAUAAUAGACUGCCUCAAUAAUAAUUUAUUAUUCCUAAAUUAUUCUAAGACCAUGAUCAUGUUAGUAGUCACACAUCAGAGACGUGUUAAAAUUAGUGGCUUUAAAAUCAUGGCGAGAGACACCACUCUAGAAAGAGUUUACAAGUUCAAAUAUCUUGGUGUUGUACUUGAUCCAUGUCUGUCCUGGAAUGAUCAUAUCUACUUUAUUAUCAACAAAAUUUCUAGGUUGAGUAUUCUACGAAAUGCUCAAAAGAUCCUGCCUCGGGAGACAUGUAUUACAUUGUAUAAUGCUAUCCUGCCUCGGGAGACAUGUAUAUCAUUGU